rnacentral:rRNA from 1 species
UACGAAGGGGGCUAGCGUUGCUCGGAAUUACUGGGCGUAAAGCGCACGUAGGCGGCUUUCUAAGUCGGGGGUGAAAUCCUGGAGCUCAACUCCAGGACUGCCUUCGAUACUGGAGAGCUCGAGUCCGGGAGAGGUGAGUGGAACUGCGAGUGUAGAGGUGAAAUUCGUAGAUAUUCGCAAGAACACCAGUGGCGAAGGCGGCUCACUGGCCCGGUACUGACGCUGAGGUGCGAAAGCGUGGGGAGCAAACAGG